CCCCGGUUAGCUUAAUUGGCAAAAGCGGCGUAUUUAUAGUACGUUGAUUGUAGGUUCGAAUCCUACACUGGGGACCA
rnacentral:tRNA from 1 species